rnacentral:rRNA from 1 species
UGAGGAAUAUUGGUCAAUGGACGCAAGUCUGAACCAGCCAAGUAGCGUGCAGGAUGACGGCCCUAUGGGUUGUAAACUGCUUUUAUAUGGGGAUAAAGUGGGGAACGUGUUCCCUUUUGCAGGUACCAUAUGAAUAAGGACCGGCUAAUUCCGUGCCAGCAGCCGCGGUAAUACGGAAGGUUCGGGCGUUAUCCGGAUUUAUUGGGUUUAAAGGGAGCGUAGGCCGUUUGGUAAGCGUGUUGUGAAAUGUAGGAGCUCAACUUCUAGAUUGCAGCGCGAACUGUCAGAUUUGAGUGCGCACAACGUAGGCGGAAUUCAUGGUGUAGCGGUGAAAUGCUUAGAUAUCAUGAAGAACUCCGAUUGCGAAGGCAGCUUACGGGAGCGCAACUGACGCUGAAGCUCGAAGGUGCGGGUAUCGAACAGG